rnacentral:snoRNA from 2 species
CCCCUCUCAAGGUCGCGCCUGGAGAGUUUCCAGUACUCUACCAAACUCAGCUAUGGGAGGGGGAGUCAAGCAGAGGCCUAUCCAUUCCAUUCCUAGCUUGGACAGUGGCUAGCGAGUGGAAGGCCAUCUGCUACAAGU